rnacentral:rRNA from 1 species
UACUAUGUUACGACUUAUCUCAUCUUAAGACGAAGAGUGACGGGGCAAUAUGUACAUAUUUUAGAGCUAAAUAAUAAUCAUAUUAAUAAUCUUUACAAUAUUACUAUUAAAUCCACCUUCAUAUAAAUCAAAUUACAACUCAUAAUCCAUAAUACAUUAAUAUAUUGUAAUUCAUCUCCACUUUAAUAUUUACUGCACCUUGACCUGAAAUACAAUUCAACAAAUUUUAAGAAAAUACUCUAAAAAGAUUCUCUAAACGGCGAUAUACAUAUUAUUAAAUUAAAGUUAGGUUCAACGCGGACUAUCGAUAACGGGACAAAUUCCUCUAAAUAGACUAAAAUACCGCCAAAUUCUUUAAGUUUCAAGAUCUCAACUAUUAAUACCUAAGUAUAUAUUUUUAAA